UACGUAGGGGGCAAGCGUUGUCCGGAAUCAUUGGGCGUAAAGCGCGUGUAGGCGGCCAGAAAAGUCCGCUGUGAAAACUCGAGGCUCAACUUCGAGCUGUCGGUGGAAACUUUCUGGCUAGAGUCCGGAAGAGGAGAAUGGAAUUCCUGGUGUAGCGGUGAAAUGCGCAGAUAUCAGGAAGAACACCCGUGGCGAAAGCAGCUCUCUGGGACGGUACUGACGCUGAGACGCGAAAGCGUGGGGAGCGAACAGG
rnacentral:rRNA from 1 species